rnacentral:rRNA from 1 species
GACGAACGCUGGCGGCGUGCUUAACACAUGCAAGUCGAACGGAAAGGCCCUGCUUUUGCGGGGUGCUCGAGUGGCGAACGGGUGAGUAUCACGUGAGUAUCCUGCCCUUGAUUUUGGGAUAUCUUCAGGAGACUGGGGAUAAUACCCGAUAGGAGCUCCUGCUGCAUGGGGGGGGUUGGAAAGUUUCGGCGGUUGGGGAUGGAAUCGCGGAUUAUCAGCUUGUUGGUGGGGUAGUGGCUUACCAAGGCAUUGACGGGUAGCCGGCCUGAGAGGGUGACCGGCCACAUUGGGACUGAGGUACGACCCAGACUCCUACGGGGGGCAGCAGUGGAGAAUAUUGCACAAUGGGCGGAAGCCUGGUGCAGCGACGCCGCGUGCGGGAUGACGGCCUUCGGGUUGUAAACCGCUUUCGCGUGUGACGAAGCGUGAGUGACGGUAAUGGGUAAAGAAGCACCGGCUAACUACGUG